UUAAUAUUUGAAUCAUUUUCAACCAAAGAAAUGUGCUGAAGAGCAGCAUUUUUGUUUAUAUCAAAGUUCAAUUGCAUCUUAUAUCAUCUGUUUCCAUCUCCUUUAUGGUAAAUAAAGUCCUUGAUGAUGACAAUAAGAAACACAGAAGAAGUUGUUAAUUUCAUAUCUGGAGAUUUUCAUCAUAGUAGUUCAUUGAAAGUGAAGGCAGCUGAAUACACUUUUUUCUGAUGCAGUAUGCCCCUCUUUGGUGUGAUUAUUUGAAAUUUGUGCAAGAAUAUGAUCC
rnacentral:lncRNA from 1 species